GAGGACCGAACCGACUAAUGUUGAAAAAUUAGCGGAUGACCUGUGGCUGGGGGUGAAAGGCCAAUCAAACCGGGAGAUAGCUGGUUCUCCCCGAAAGCUAUUUAGGUAGCGCCUCGUGAAUUCAUCUCCGGGGGUAGAGCACUGUUUCGGCUAGGGGGCCAUCCCGGCUUACCAACCCGAUGCAAACUGCGAAUACCGGAGAAUGUUAUCACGGGAGACACACGGCGGGUGCUAACGUCCGUCGUGAAGAGGGAAACAACCCAGACCGCCAGCUAAGGUCCCAAAGUCAUGGUUAAGUGGGAAACGAUGUGGGAAGGCCCAGACAGCCAGGAUGUUGGCUUAGAAGCAGCCAUCAUUUAAAGAAAGCGUAAUAGCUCACUGGUCGAGUCGGCCUGCGCGGAAGAUGUAACGGGGCUAAACCAUGCACCGAAGCUGCGGCAGCGACACUGUGUGUUGUUGGGUAGGGGAGCGUUCUGUAAGCCUGUGAAGGUGUGUCGUGAGGCAUGCUGGAGGUAUCAGAAGUGCGAAUGCUGACAUAAGUAACGAUAAAGCGGGUGAAAAGCCCGCUCGCCGGAAGACCAAGGGUUCCUGUCCAACGUUAAUCGGGGCAGGGUGAGUCGACCCCUAAGGCGAGGCCGAAAGGCGUAGUCGAUGGGAAACGGGUUAAUAUUCCCGUACUUGGUGUUACUGCGAAGGGGGGACGGAGAAGGCUAUGUUGGCCGGGCGACGGUUGUCCCGGUUUAAGCGUGUAGGUGUGUGUUCCAGGUAAAUCCGGUUCACUUUAACACUGAGGCGUGACGACGAGGCACUACGGUGCUGAAGCAACAAAUGCCCUGCUUCCAGGAAAAGCCUCUAAGCAUCAGGUAACAUCAAAUCGUACCCCAAACCGACACAGGUGGUCAGGUAGAGAAUACCAAGGCGCUUGAGAGAACUCGGGUGAAGGAACUAGGCAAAAUGGUGCCGUAACUUCGGGAGAAGGCACGCUGACACGUAGGUGAAGUGAUUUACUCAUGGAGCUGAAGUCAGUCGAAGAUACCAGCUGGCUGCAACUGUUUAUUAAAAACACAGCACUGUGCAAACACGAAAGUGGACGUAUACGGUGUGACGCCUGCCCGGUGCCGGAAGGUUAAUUGAUGGGGUCAGCGCAAGCGAAGCUCCUGAUCGAAGCCCCGGUAAACGGCGGCCGUAACUAUAACGGUCCUAAGGUAGCGAAAUUCCUUGUCGGGUAAGUUCCGACCUGCACGAAUGGCGUAAUGAUGGCCAGGCUGUCUCCACCCGAGACUCAGUGAAAUUGAACUCGCUGUGAAGAUGCAGUGUACCCGCGGCAAGACGGAAAGACCCCGUGAACCUUUACUAUAGCUUGACACUGAACAUUGAGCCUUGAUGUGUAGGAUAGGUGGGAGGCUUUGAAGUGUGGACGCCAGUCUGCAUGGAGCCGACCUUGAAAUACCACCCUUUAAUGUUUGAUGUUCUAACGUGGACCCGUUACCCGGGUUGCGGACAGUGUCUGGUGGGUAGUUUGACUGGGGCGGUCUCCUCCUAAAGAGUAACGGAGGAGCACGAAGGUUGGCUAAUCCUGGUCGGACAUCAGGAGGUUAGUGCAAUGGCAUAAGCCAGCUUGACUGCGAGCGUGACGGCGCGAGCAGGUGCGAAAGCAGGUCAUAGUGAUCCGGUGGUUCUGAAUGGAAGGGCCAUCGCUCAACGGAUAAAAGGUACUCCGGGGAUAACAGGCUGAUACCGCCCAAGAGUUCAUAUCGACGGCGGUGUUUGGCACCUCGAUGUCGGCUCAUCACAUCCUGGGGCUGAAGUAGGUCCCAAGGGUAUGGCUGUUCGCCAUUUAAAGUGGUACGCGAGCUGGGUUUAGAACGUCGUGAGACAGUUCGGUCCCUAUCUGCCGUGGGCGCUGGAGAACUGAGGGGGGCUGCUCCUAGUACGAGAGGACCGGAGUGGACGCAUCACUGGUGUUCGGGUUGUCAUGCCAAUGGCACUGCCCGGUAGCUAAAUGCGGAAGAGAUAAGUGCUGAAAGCAUCUAAGCACGAAACUUGCCCCGAGAUGAGUUCUCCCUGAGACUUAAAGUCUCCUGAAGGAACGUUGAAGACGACGACGUUG
rnacentral:rRNA from 1 species